rnacentral:misc_RNA from 1 species
AAGUCGUAACAAGGUUUCCGUAGGUGAACCUGCGGAAGGAUCAUUACCGAUUUUUAGCGGACCUGAUCUUUGGUCAUGGUCUCGCGAAAACUUGUAUUUAAAACCCCACUCUUAUAAAUUGAAUCAUUUUAUAUUAUGUAUAUAAUAAAUAAAGAUCACUUUCAACAACGGAUCUCUUGGCUCUC